rnacentral:rRNA from 1 species
GUGGGGAAUCUUGCGCAAUGGGCGAAAGCCUGACGCAGCCAUGCCGCGUGAAUGAUGAAGGUCUUAGGAUUGUAAAAUUCUUUCACCGGGGACGAUAAUGACGGUACCCGGAGAAGAAGCUCCGGCUAACUUCGUGCCAGCAGCCGCGGUAAUACGAAGGGUGCUAGCGUUGCUCGGAAUUACUGGGCGUAAAGGGCGCGUAGGCGGACAGUUUAGUCAGAGGUGAAAGCCCAGGGCUCAACCUUGGAAUUGCCUUUGAUACUGGCUGUCUUGAGUACGGGAGAGGUGAGUGGAACUCCGAGUGUAGAGGUGAAAUUCGUAGAUAUUCGGAAGAACACCAGUGGCGAAGGCGACUCACUGGCCCGUUACUGACGCUGAGGCGCGAAAGCGUGGGGAGCAAACAGGAUUAGAUACCCGAGUAGUCC